rnacentral:rRNA from 1 species
GGUUAAGCGACUAAGCGUACACGGUGGAUGCCCUGGCAGUCAGAGGCGAUGAAGGGCGUGCUAAUCUGCGAUAAGCGCCGGUAAGGUGAUAUGAACCGUUAUAACCGGCGAUACCCGAAUGGGGAAACCCAGUGUGAUUCGUCACACUAUCAUUAACUGAAUCCAUAGGUUAAUGAGGCGAACCGGGGGAACUGAAACAUCUAAGUACCCCGAGGAAAAGAAAUCAACCGAGAUUCCCCCAGUAGCGGCGAGCGAACGGGGAGGAGCCCAGAGCCUGAAUCAGCAUGUGUGUUAGUGGAAGCGUCUGGAAAGGCGCGCGAUACAGGGUGACAGCCCCGUACACAAAAGCGCAUGUGCUGUGAGCUCGAUGAGUAGGGCGGGACACGUGGUAUCCUGUCUGAAUAUGGGGGGACCAUCCUCCAAGGCUAAAUACUCCUGACUGACCGAUAGUGAACCAGUACCGUGAGGGAAAGGCGAAAAGAACCCCGGCGAGGGGAGUGAAAAAGAACCUGAAACCGUGUACGUACAAGCAGUGGGAGCACAGGUUUACCUGUGUGACUGCGUACCUUUUGUAUAAUGGGUCAGCGACUUAUAUUCUGUAGCAAGGUUAACCGUAUAGGGGAGCCGUAGGGAAACCGAGUCUUAACCGGGCGUUAAGUUGCAGGGUAUAGACCCGAAACCCGGUGAUCUAGCCAUGGGCAGGUUGAAGGUUGGGUAACACUAACUGGAGGACCGAACCGACUAAUGUUGAAAAAUUAGCGGAUGACCUGUGGCUGGGGGUGAAAGGCCAAUCAAACCGGGAGAUAGCUGGUUCUCCCCGAAAGCUAUUUAGGUAGCGCCUCGUGAAUUCAUCUCCGGGGGUAGAGCACUGUUUCGGCUAGGGGGCCAUCCCGGCUUACCAACCCGAUGCAAACUGCGAAUACCGGAGAAUGUUAUCACGGGAGACACACGGCGGGUGCUAACGUCCGUCGUGAAGAGGGAAACAACCCAGACCGCCAGCUAAGGUCCCAAAGUCAUGGUUAAGUGGGAAACGAUGUGGGAAGGCCCAGACAGCCAGGAUGUUGGCUUAGAAGCAGCCAUCAUUUAAAGAAAGCGUAAUAGCUCACUGGUCGAGUCGGCCUGCGCGGAAGAUGUAACGGGGCUAAACCAUGCACCGAAGCUGCGGCAGCGAACGUAUCACCCAAGACAACUUUACGGAGUUGACGAUUGACGGAGCGAAGCGACGUCAAAGCGUUCAUUAAAGUCGAGUUGGCUUAGGGAUACGUUCGUUGGGUAGGGGAGCGUUCUGUAAGCCUGUGAAGGUGUGUCGUGAGGCAUGCUGGAGGUAUCAGAAGUGCGAAUGCUGACAUAAGUAACGAUAAAGCGGGUGAAAAGCCCGCUCGCCGGAAGACCAAGGGUUCCUGUCCAACGUUAAUCGGGGCAGGGUGAGUCGACCCCUAAGGCGAGGCCGAAAGGCGUAGUCGAUGGGAAACGGGUUAAUAUUCCCGUACUUGGUGUUACUGCGAAGGGGGGACGGAGAAGGCUAUGUUGGCCGGGCGACGGUUGUCCCGGUUUAAGCGUGUAGGUGUGUGUUCCAGGUAAAUCCGGUUCACUUUAACACUGAGGCGUGACGACGAGGCACUACGGUGCUGAAGCAACAAAUGCCCUGCUUCCAGGAAAAGCCUCUAAGCAUCAGGUAACAUCAAAUCGUACCCCAAACCGACACAGGUGGUCAGGUAGAGAAUACCAAGGCGCUUGAGAGAACUCGGGUGAAGGAACUAGGCAAAAUGGUGCCGUAACUUCGGGAGAAGGCACGCUGACACGUAGGUGAAGUGAUUUACUCACGGAGCUGAAGUCAGUCGAAGAUACCAGCUGGCUGCAACUGUUUAUUAAAAACACAGCACUGUGCAAACACGAAAGUGGACGUAUACGGUGUGACGCCUGCCCGGUGCCGGAAGGUUAAUUGAUGGGGUCAGCGCAAGCGAAGCUCCUGAUCGAAGCCCCGGUAAACGGCGGCCGUAACUAUAACGGUCCUAAGGUAGCGAAAUUCCUUGUCGGGUAAGUUCCGACCUGCACGAAUGGCGUAAUGAUGGCCAGGCUGUCUCCACCCGAGACUCAGUGAAAUUGAACUCGCUGUGAAGAUGCAGUGUACCCGCGGCAAGACGGAAAGACCCCGUGAACCUUUACUAUAGCUUGACACUGAACAUUGAGCCUUGAUGUGUAGGAUAGGUGGGAGGCUUUGAAGUGUGGACGCCAGUCUGCAUGGAGCCGACCUUGAAAUACCACCCUUUAAUGUUUGAUGUUCUAACGUGGACCCGUAAUCCGGGUUGCGGACAGUGUCUGGUGGGUAGUUUGACUGGGGCGGUCUCCUCCUAAAGAGUAACGGAGGAGCACGAAGGUUGGCUAAUCCUGGUCGGACAUCAGGAGGUUAGUGCAAUGGCAUAAGCCAGCUUGACUGCGAGCGUGACGGCGCGAGCAGGUGCGAAAGCAGGUCAUAGUGAUCCGGUGGUUCUGAAUGGAAGGGCCAUCGCUCAACGGAUAAAAGGUACUCCGGGGAUAACAGGCUGAUACCGCCCAAGAGUUCAUAUCGACGGCGGUGUUUGGCACCUCGAUGUCGGCUCAUCACAUCCUGGGGCUGAAGUAGGUCCCAAGGGUAUGGCUGUUCGCCAUUUAAAGUGGUACGCGAGCUGGGUUUAGAACGUCGUGAGACAGUUCGGUCCCUAUCUGCCGUGGGCGCUGGAGAACUGAGGGGGGCUGCUCCUAGUACGAGAGGACCGGAGUGGACGCAUCACUGGUGUUCGGGUUGUCAUGCCAAUGGCACUGCCCGGUAGCUAAAUGCGGAAGAGAUAAGUGCUGAAAGCAUCUAAGCACGAAACUUGCCCCGAGAUGAGUUCUCCCUGAGACUUAGAGUCUCCUGAAGGAACGUUGAAGACGACGACGUUGAUAGGCCGGGUGUGUAAGCGCAGCGAUGCGUUGAGCUAACCGGUACUAAUGAACCGUGAGGCUUAACCUU